AUUAGAGUUUGAUCCUGGCUCAGGACGAACGCUGGCGGCGUGCUUAACACAUGCAAGUCGAACGAUGAUGCCCAGCUUGCUGGGUGGAUUAGUGGCGAACGGGUGAGUAACACGUGAGUAACCUGCCCCUGACUCUGGGAUAAGCGUUGGAAACGACGUCUAAUACUGGAUAUGACUGCCGGCCGCAUGGUCUGGUGGUGGAAAGAUUUUUUGGUUGGGGAUGGACUCGCGGCCUAUCAGCUUGUUGGUGAGGUAAUGGCUCACCAAGGCGACGACGGGUAGCCGGCCUGAGAGGGUGACCGGCCACACUGGGACUGAGACACGGCCCAGACUCCUACGGGAGGCAGCAGUGGGAAUAUUGCACAAUGGGCGAAAGCCUGAUGCAGCAACGCCGCGUGAGGGAUGACGGCCUUCGGGUUGUAAACCUCUUUUAGUAGGGAAGAAGCGAAAGUGACGGUACCUGCAGAAAAAGCACCGGCUAACUACGUGCCAGCAGCCGCGGUAAUACGUAGGGUGCAAGCGUUGUCCGGAAUUAUUGGGCGUAAAGAGCUCGUAGGCGGUUUGUCGCGUCUGCUGUGAAAUCCCGAGGCUCAACCUCGGGCUUGCAGUGGGUACGGGCAGACUAGAGUGCGGUAGGGGAGAUUGGAAUUCCUGGUGUAGCGGUGGAAUGCGCAGAUAUCAGGAGGAACACCGAUGGCGAAGGCAGAUCUCUGGGCCGUAACUGACGCUGAGGAGCGAAAGCGUGGGGAGCGAACAGGAUUAGAUACCCUGGUAGCCCACGCCGUAAACGUUGGGCGCUAGAUGUAGGGACCUUUCCACGGUUUCUGUGUCGUAGCUAACGCAUUAAGCGCCCCGCCUGGGGAGUACGGCCGCAAGGCUAAAACUCAAAGGAAUUGACGGGGGCCCGCACAAGCGGCGGAGCAUGCGGAUUAAUUCGAUGCAACGCGAAGAACCUUACCAAGGCUUGACAUACACCGGAAACGGCCAGAGAUGGUCGCCCCCUUGUGGUCGGUGUACAGGUGGUGCAUGGUUGUCGUCAGCUCGUGUCGCGAGAUGUUGGGUUAAGUCCCGCAACGAGCGCAACCCUCGUUCUAUGUUGCCAGCGCGUUAUGGCGGGGACUCAUAGGAGACUGCCGGGGUCAACUCGGAGGAAGGUGGGGAUGACGUCAAAUCAUCAUGCCCCUUAUGUCUUGGGCUUCACGCAUGCUACAAUGGCCGGUACAAAGGGCUGCGAUACCGUAAGGUGGAGCGAAUCCCAAAAAGCCGGUCUCAGUUCGGAUUGAGGUCUGCAACUCGACCUCAUGAAGUCGGAGUCGCUAGUAAUCGCAGAUCAGCAACGCUGCGGUGAAUACGUUCCCGGGCCUUGUACACACCGCCCGUCAAGUCAUGAAAGUCGGUAACACCCGAAGCCGGUGGCCUAACCCUUGUGGAAGGAGCCGUCGAAGGUGGGAUCGGUGAUUAGGACUAAGUCGUAACAAGGUAGCCGUAAAU
rnacentral:rRNA from 1 species